rnacentral:tRNA from 1 species
UGGCUCAGUUGGUUGAGCAUCUGAUUUUGGUUCAGGUCAUGAUCACAGUUUGUGGGUUCGAGCCCCAC